UACGGGGGGGGCAAGCGUUGUUCGGAAUUACUGGGCGUAAAGGGCUCGUAGGCGGCCAACUAAGUCAGACGUGAAAUCCCUCGGCUUAACCGGGGAACUGCGUCUGAUACUGGAUGGCUUGAGGUUGGGAGAGGGAUGCGGAAUUCCAGGUGUAGCGGUGAAAUGCGUAGAUAUCUGGAGGAACACCGGUGGCGAAGGCGGCAUCCUGGACCAAUUCUGACGCUGAGUGAGCGAAAGCCAGGGGAGCAAAACGGGG
rnacentral:rRNA from 1 species